GUGCACGCUGGCGGUAGGCCUAACACAUGCAAGUCGAACGGCAGCACGGUAAGAGCUUGCUCUUACGGGUGGCGAGUGGCGGACGGGUGAGGAAUACAUCGGAAUCUACUUUUUCGUGGGGGAUAACGUAGGGAAACUUACGCUAAUACCGCAUACGACCUACGGGUGAAAGCAGGGGAUCUUCGGACCUUGCGCGAUUGAAUGAGCCGAUGUCGGAUUAGCUAGUUGGCGGGGUAAAGGCCCACCAAGGCGACGAUCCGUAGCUGGUCUGAGAGGAUGAUCAGCCACACUGGAACUGAGACACGGUCCAGACUCCUACGGGAGGCAGCAGUGGGGAAUAUUGGACAAUGGGCGCAAGCCUGAUCCAGCCAUACCGCGUGGGUGAAGAAGGCCUUCGGGUUGUAAAGCCCUUUUGUUGGGAAAGAAAAGCAGCAGGUUAAUACCCCGCUGUUCUGACGGUACCCAAAGAAUAAGCACCGGCUAACUUCGUG
rnacentral:rRNA from 1 species